UACGGAGGAUGCAAGCGUUAUCCGGAAUGAUUGGGCGUAAAGCGUCCGCAGGUGGCUAUGUAAGUCUGCUGUUAAAGAGUGAGGCUCAACCUCAUAAGAGCAGUGGAAACUACAUGGCUAGAGUGCGUUCGGGGCAGAGGGAAUUCCUGGUGUAGCGGUGAAAUGCGUAGAGAUCAGGAAGAACACCGGUGGCGAAAGCGCUCUGCUAGGCCGCAACUGACACUCAUGGACGAAAGGCUAAGGGGAGCGAAUGGG
rnacentral:rRNA from 1 species